rnacentral:rRNA from 1 species
AACGAACGCUGGCGGCAUGCCUAACACAUGCAAGUCGAACGAGACCUUCGGGUCUAGUGGCGCACGGGUGCGUAACGCGUGGGAACCUGCCCUUAGGUUCGGAAUAACUCCCCGAAAGGGGUGCUAAUACCGGAUAAUGUCUUCGGACCAAAGAUUUAACGCCUUUGGAUGGGCCCGCGGUGGAUUAGCUAGUUGGUAGGGUAAAAGCCUACCAAGGCGGCGAUCCAUCGCUGGUCUGAGAGAGUGAUCAGCCACACUGGGACUGAGACUCGGCCCAGACUCCUCGGGAGGCCGUGAGUGGGGAAAAUUGAGAACGGGCGGGAGGCCAGACCCAGACCUCCCCCGUAAAAGAAGAGGGCUUAUGGGUUUUAAGGCGUUUUUCCCCGGGAUAAUAAUGACAGGACGGGGAGAAAAGGGCGGGGUCACUUCCAC